GACGAACGCUGGCGGCGUGCUUAACACAUACAAGUCGAACGGAAAGGCCCUGCUUGCAGGGUGCUCGAGUGGCGAACGGGUGAGUAACACGUGGGUGAUCUGCCCCUUACUUUGGGAUAAGCCUGGGAAACUGGGUCUAAUACUGGAUAGGACCAUGCUGUAGGUGGUGUGGUGGAAAGAUUAGUUUCGGUAAGGGAUGAGCUCGCGGCCUAUCAGCUUGUUGGUGGGGUAAUGGCCUACCAAGGCGUCGACGGGUAGCCGGCCUGAGAGGGUGGACGGCCACAUUGGGACUGAGAUACGGCCCAGACUCCUACGGGAGGCAGCAGUGGGGAAUAUUGCACAAUGGGCGCAAGCCUGAUGCAGCGACGCCGCGUGGGGAUGACGGCCUUCGGGUUGUAAACUCCUUGCAGCCAUGACGAAGCCCUUGUGGUGACGGUAGUGGUAGAAGAAGCACCGGCUAACUACGUG
rnacentral:rRNA from 1 species